rnacentral:misc_RNA from 1 species
UGCUGAACAGCACGCCCUCCAAGAACUGCAUCAAGUUCAACUGUUUUGAUAGCUGCUGUUCCAGCUUCAUCCUGACUUGUAUCUUUCCCAAUCCAGAAGUGUACGUCAUAGAGAUAAGCGCCCCCCUUGCCAGAUGUUGUCUGCAAAACAAUGUAAGAAUCCCCCAUGUAGAAUUUUCCAUAAUCAGAUUUUGGCAGAGGAACUGGCUGAAAAUUCUCAAUUCGCCAAAUUUCAGUCCCUGGUCU